UGGAGAGGGCGAGAGUGGUGACUAAAGAGAGGAGCCUUUCCUCCCCUUUUGCCUGCGCUCCGGCGCGCGGAGAGAGGGAGGUAGGGAGAGAGACAAACACAGAGCUAGAGAAAUUGAAAGAGAAACAUUCUCGAAGGCAAAGAGUUGAAAGGUGAAUCUACUAAGAAAAGAAUAACAGAGUGCAAUUAGCCAUGGAACUACAUCUCCAUCUGCCUCCUUUAAAGGAUGAGUCCUUUAAAGAGCCUUUGGAAGGAAUUGGGCCAUGAGAAGAGCCCUCAUGAAUGGGAUUAGUUCCCUUAUAAGAAGAGACACCAAGGAAGUGAUCUUUCUCUGCCCUCUGCUAUGUGAAGACAAGGUCAUCUGCAGUUUUUUGUUGUUGUUGAUGAUCUUCCUGUCAUAGACAAUGCUGUAACAAACAGACUAAUGCUUCAGAAGAAUUGUAAUAUUAGGUACUAUCUGCCUUUAAGAAAAUAGAAGCAGCUGGUGUGGUGGCUCAUGCCUGUAAUCCCAGCACUUUGGGAG
rnacentral:lncRNA from 1 species